UACGUAGGGGGCUAGCGUUGUCCGGAAUCAUUGGGCGUAAAGAGCGCGUAGGCGGCUAGAUAAGUCCGGUGUGAAAGUCACAGGCUCAACCUGUGAAUGCCGCUGGAAACUGUCUGGCUAGAGUCCGGAAGAGGCGAGUGGAAUUCCUGGUGUAGCGGUGGAAUGCGCAGAUAUCAGGAGGAACACCAAUAGCGAAGGCAGCUCGCUGGGACGGUACUGACGCUGAGGCGCGAAAGCGUGGGGAGCGAACAGG
rnacentral:rRNA from 1 species